AUUGUCGUGGCCGAGUGGUUAAAGCGAUGGACUAGAAAUCUUUUGGGAUCUUCCCGCGCAGGUUCGAAUCCUGCCGACAUCG
rnacentral:tRNA from 1 species